UGGUACAACUUGUACAUGUGAACUCCUAGCAUUCACAAAUAAUAAAAAAAACCCUCAAGCUUGACAACUCAACUAGGGGAGCACUUAUGCCAAACAAGAGUUAUAGUUACCAACAAAGUCUUAUUGCAAGCCAACAGCAACUUCAGUGCAUGGCAUACGAAGAUCAAGCUAUUCAGCUCUCUUGCAUCUACUUCAAACAUUUCCCCUUUGUAACAAUGCAAACACUACAACUCGUAGAAAGCUUCACACACUCUUGAUCAAGACAGUGUGAAGCAAAACGAAUUUAUGGUGCCAACAAGAGCUUCAUCAAUGGAGGGCAACCAUAUUUCUCAAAAGCUUCACACACUCUUGAUCAAGACAGUGUGAAGCAAAACCAAUUUAUGGUGCCAACAAGAGCUUC
rnacentral:lncRNA from 1 species